GCGCCAGCAGCCGCGGUAAUACAGAGGGUGCAAGCGUUGUUCGGAAUUAUUGGGCGUAAAGGGAGUGUAGGCGGUUCAUUAAGUCUGCUGUGAAAUCUACGGGCUUAGCCUGUAACGUGCAGCGGAAACUGGUGGACUUGAGUGUCGGAGAGGAUAGGGGAAUACCCAGUGUAGAGGUGAAAUUCGUAGAGAUUGGUGGGACACCAGUGGCGAAGGCGCCUAUCUGGCUGACAACUGACGCUGAGACGCGAAAGCGUGGGGAGCAAACAGGAUUAGAUACCCUGGUAGUCC
rnacentral:rRNA from 1 species